rnacentral:rRNA from 1 species
GACGAACGCUUGCGGCGUGCCUAAGAAAUGCAAGUCGAGCGAGGUUUAGGCUUCGGCCGACGACCUAGCGGCGAACGGUCGCGUAACACGUAAGCAACCUGCCCUAAAGUUGGGGAUAGCCCGCCGAAAGGCGGAUUAAUACCGAAUGUGGAUAUGUAUUCGCAUGUAUAUAUAUCUGAAGCAGCGAUGCGCUUUAGGAUGGGCUUGCGGCCUAUCAGUUAGUUGGUGUGGGUAACGGCCUACCAAGACGACGACGGGUAGCUGGUCUGAGUAGGAUGGUCAGCCGGAUUGGGACUGAGACACGGCCCAGACUCCUACGGGGGCAGCAAUUAGGAAUCUUGCGCAAUGGGCGAAAGCCUGACGCAGCGACGCCGCGUGACUGAUGAAGUCUUUCGAGAUGUAAAGGUCUUUUGUUGGGGACGAAGGAAGUGACGGUACCCGACGAAUAAGCCCCGGCUAACUACGUG